GUGAACAAAAAAACAAAAAAAAAAAAACAAAAACAAAAAGAACAAAAAGAACAACAAAAAAAUCACAAAGUGAUGUUGAGCAAAAAGAAUGAAAAACGAAGUUCAAGAAAAGCAAAGUGCCCAAAAAGUCAAAUAGUUGAUGCAAUACCUAGAUGAUAACCCUUGUUUCAAAAAAUAAUAACCAACAAACAUUCAUUUGAGCCUUUAUAUCCUUUCUUCCAAUACCUUUUAGCCCUUAGCCACGUUACAAGCAUAAUAAAGUCCAUGCAGAUUGAAUAAUAAUUGCUCAAAUUUUCAUAAAGCUUAAUUUUGCGAUAAGGCGAAGUGACUUUCAAUGUUUCGUGAAAAAAAAAAGUUGAAAAAAAAAACAAAAGAAGAGGAAAAAGUAAUGUCUCAGGAAAAGGGGAUCUCCCUAUCAACUAGCCAGAAGCAAAAAAAAAAUAAAAAUAAAAACAAAAUAAAAAAAAAUAAAAAUCAAACCAAUUAGAGCCAACCUUGUUAAUCGAUCCUUUUCAUGCCCACCACCUCUUCCAAACAAAACCUUAUGCCAAAAAAAACUAGGGCAACUUUGUGGAUUUCACCACGCGUCUUCACCCUGAAAUUCAUCACCCCAUAAUCUCAAGACUAGGGCAGCUUUACAGAUCUCCCUUGAAUUUUCACCCUAAUUUUCAUGGAUCCAAACCCCAACUCAUUUUUCCCAAACACCAAACCGAGACAAAAUUUUGGGUAUCUCGUGUUUUGUCUUGACACUCACAUAUUACACCUCCUUUGGGGUUUGUAGCACCCAUAUGACUAUUCAAUUCCCUUCCAAACCUUCAUAAACAACUUUUGUUUUUCCCUUGCCAGUGAAUUCAAGCACGUGUGCACUAAUGUCAAGAAAGAAAAGUCAAAAUGUGAUAAUCUCAAAGUUUAGACAUCGGAUGUAAGACAUUUAUCACUUUCACAAAACAUUGAAAAUGAAAAUCAGUUUGAUAAUUGCGAGCAAGACAAUUGAGUCAAGCAAAAAAAAGAAAAAAAGAAAAAAAAAAAGCACAAAACAAAGCAAAUGUUUUCAUAUGUGCAUCAAUCCAUGAAAAAGAAAGUUUUUCUGAUCGAAACCCUCUUCAUUCAUAUGAGUGGUUGUCGAAUCCUCCUUCAAAAAUGCAAAAAAGAGUAGCAUCAAAAUUUCAACACUUUGCAGUAAAAGGUUUCAAUGCCUUGGUGUAUUUUCAAAAAUCAAAUUUCUAACAAAAUUGCAAAACUACGAAUUUCGAGAGUUUCGAAAUUUGAAAGCCCUGUUUUACCUGGCCCCUUAAGCCCAGUUUCCACACUGGCCCCCAAGCCUAGUUUCCACACUGGCCUACAAAGCCCAACUUACAUUACACCCUAAGCUCAAGUUUUUCUUUUUGUUUCGACCCACUGUAAGACAAUGGUCGAACCCAACAAUCACAUCAUUCAUUCACCCAUAGGGUUGGUACACCCUCCACGAGGUUAGUACACCUCNNN
rnacentral:lncRNA from 1 species